rnacentral:snRNA from 1 species
AAAAAGGUCUUCUGUCGGGAGUGACACACAUAGAGCAGCCUAAUUACUCUAUGUGUGGAAUCGACAUCAAGAGAUUUCAGAAGCAUAAUUUUUUGGUACGUGGACAGCUGGUGAUCGUUGGUCCUGGUGCCCAA